rnacentral:rRNA from 1 species
UUCCGGUUGAUCCUGCCGGAGGUCACUGCUAUUGGGAUUCGACUAAGCCAUGCGAGUCGCGAGGGUUCGGCCCUCGGCUGACGGCUCAGUAACACGCGGAUAAUCUGCCCUUAGGUGGAGGAUAACCUCGGGAAACUGAGAAUAAGACUCCAUAGAUCUAGGAGGCUGGAAUGCACUUAGAUCAAAAACUUCGGUGCCUAAGGAUGAGUCUGCGGACUAUCAGGUAGUAGUCAGGGUAAUGACCUGACCAGCCUACGACGGAUACGGGUUGUGAGAGCAAUAACCCGGAGAUGAUAUCUGAGACACGAUAUCAGGCCCUACGGGGCGCAGCAGGCGCGAAAACUUCACACUGUGCGAAAGCACGAUGAGGGAAUCCCGAGUGCUGGCUCGUAAGAGUCAGCUGUUUUUCUGUCUAGAAAACAGAGAGAGUAAGAGCUGGGUAAGACGGGUGCCAGCCGCCGCGGUAAUACCUGCAGCUCAAGUGGUGGCCGCUAUUAUUGGGCCUAAAACGUUCGUAGCCGGUCUAGUAAAUGCCUGGGUAAAUCGUACGGCUUAACCGUACGAAUUCCGGGUAGACUGCUGGACUUGGGACUGGGAGAGGCUAGAGGUACUCCUGGGGUAGAGGUAAAAUUCUGUAAUCCUAGGGGGACCACCAGUGGCGAAGGCGUCUAGCUAGAACGAGUCUGACGGUGAGGGACGAAGCCCUGGGGCGCAAACGGGAUUAGAUACCCCGGUAGUCCAGGGUGUAAACGCUGCUUGCUUGAUGUUAGUCGGGCUCUGAGCCCGAUUAGUGUCGGAGAGAAGUUGUUUAGCAAGCUGCCUGGGAAGUACGGUCGCAAGGCUGAAACUUAAAGGAAUUGGCGGGGGAGCACAGCAACGGGUGGAGCGUGCGGUUUAAUUGGAUUCAACGCCGGAAA